UUGGAUUCGAUUGGCUAUUUGAUGUUUGGUAAGCAUGCUGUGGUUGUGCACAUAAAAACACCCUAGGUUUAUUAAAUUAAACGCAAAUAAUCAAAAUUUAGCAUUCGCUGCUUAAUAGCGGAUACACAAUAAGAAGCCGACCCUCAGGGCAUCUUGGCGUGUUUCAGAUACUGCGGGUUGUAUGUUAGGAAUGCUUUGAUCUAGCAUAUGAAAUAUAAAAGCUAGUCGGUUAUAUCUUGUUUGUUACAUAUAAUCGUAUGAACUAAAGAAAACAAAAUAAGCAUGUAGAAAUCUGGAUGGAUUGUAGUUAAGACGCGGGUUCGAGUCCCGCCUAGUCCACCA
rnacentral:tmRNA from 1 species